rnacentral:pre_miRNA from 1 species
AAGAGAGCCGUCUAUUGACAGUUCAAGACCACGAGUCGUUGUGUGCUGUCAUGGAGUCGCUCUCUUCA